AGUGAACGCUGGCGGUAGGCCUAACACAUGCAAGUCGAACGGCAGCACAGUAAGAGCUUGCUCUUACGGGUGGCGAGUGGCGGACGGGUGAGGAAUACAUCGGAAUCUACUUUUUCGUGGGGGAUAACGUAGGGAAACUUACGCUAAUACCGCAUACGACUUACGGGUGAAAGCAGGGGAUCUUCGGACCUUGCGCGAUUGAAUGAGCCGAUGUCGGAUUAGCUAGUUGGCGGGGUAAAGGCCCACCAAGGCGACGAUCCGUAGCUGGUCUGAGAGGAUGAUCAGCCACACUGGAACUGAGACACGGUCCAGACUCCUACGGGAGGCAGCAGUGGGGAAUAUUGGACAAUGGGCGCAAGCCUGAUCCAGCCAUACUGCGUGGGUGAAGAAGGCCUUCGGGUUGUAAAGCCCUUUUGUUGGGAAAGAAAAGCAGCAGGUUAAUACCCCGCUGUUCUGACGGUACCCAAAGAAUAAGCACCGGCUAACUUCGUG
rnacentral:rRNA from 1 species